GAUGGAAGGAGAAAAGUGGGACUGAUGUACUUCUGCAAAGUUGGGUAAAGUGCUUCUGGAUAUAGGUGGGGAUAAUAAGGAAGCAGACAGCAGAAUUUCCAGUUCCAUUUUGGCUGAUUCUAUUUCUAUACGUCUUGGUGCCUUUUGGAGUUUGCAGUCAGCAGUGAGACCUUCUCCUAACUCAGUCUUGAAGAUCACACCCCAAAGGGGAAAAGUCCUGCUUGAGAUACCAUUAAUAGCUUGAUUGCCAAACAUUUCUUGUGUGAUUUAAUGUGUUCUAUAGUAGUUUGUCCAUGAUGAAUUGAGAAUAUUUGCUUAUGAUAAGUUUAAUUCUUCUAAAAAAUACCCCACUCUGUUGGGCCUCCAGUUUAAAGACACAGAGGUUCCACAGUAUUUGACAUGGCUUCUAGAUAAUCACUAACUAAGGAUUAGGAGACUUUUCUCAGUUCCUGCUUAACAGAGGCAUCUUUUCACUCAUUUACCUUGAAGUAUGUCUCUCCUUUCUAAAGUUCAUUUUGCGUAAGGGAAGAUAACAGCCCAUAUCAUGCAGAUACCCAAAGAUCCUGUAGCUGAGAGGCUAUUCACAUGCCUUUCCUGAGAAGAUUUUUGCCAGGUGCAAAAUGUGCCACUUUGCCUAAAUUAUUAGAAGUAGAAUUGACAUCUGAUGUAAUGUAGGAGAGUCUUGGGAGUUGGAGGCAAGAGGCAAUGGAGAAAGUGGUAGUUUAAGGGAUUAUGGAGAGGUUAACAGAGAAUAACCCCCUUUAGAAGUAGGAAUUCAGUUUUGCACCUGCAUAUUUGUCUCCUGAUUUAUACUGCACAGUUAUUUGAAGCAAACCCACUGGAAUGACUAAGUAUGGGAUCUGGAAGAAAUGUCUAUGAUCAUAAAGUUGAGGCACAAAAAUUGCCCAGUGUCACGCAGGAGCUUUGAGGAAACAUCAGGAUCUCUGCUGGUGAGACAAGUGGUGACAUCCAGGCAGAAGAGCCUGCCUAGGGCCCGUCAGCUGAAGGGCAGAUGAGAUGACUGACUUCUUGGCCCUUUGGGUCCAAGAGGACACACUUGGACAGUUCAGAGUGGGCCACUCUGCUGUCCAGAUGGCAGAGUGGGGGCACCCAACCAGGUCUGCAGCCAUGGGGCCACAAGUCCAAGGGGGCAGAUACUGUCGCAGGUGGCAGCAGGUCACAGCCAGGCAGGAGCCCUCACUGGCAGACUGUUGUAGUAGGUAGAGGGGUCAGGGGCCACUCCAGAUCAAGGCUGCUUCAGCAGCCCAGCUGACACAAGCGAUAGUAUCCCCAGAUACCAACUUGGUGGGCCUCAGGAGCUCCUGAGGGCAAGGAGCCCUGAGCUGCUCACCGGGGCAGGUUUUUAUACUUCUGGGGCCAGCACAGGUGCUGGGCCCAGGCUCUGGAUCCCCCUGGCUGCAGAUCUGGGAGGAGCUGGGCAGAGUUAUUUUUCCCCAAGUGGCACAACAUGCCCCACACCAAAGUGCAUGUCCAUACAUGUGCACUGAGGGAAAAAUCCCCAACUCAAAUUUGUGCCACUUCUAUCUGAGCUGCUACAAGUGCAUGUGCCUGCAUGUGUAGACACAUCCUAAGGAACUUUAUGUCCUACUGAAAACAUUACAUGUCCUGCAAUACAAGUCUGACAUGGCAAAAUGUGCAGUUUUGGGCAUAAAAUCCACCAGACCCAAUCAUGCCUUUUUAUUAACAUUUAUUAACAGCCAAGAGCCAAAGUCACAGAAGAUGCAGGUGAAGUAGGAGAGUAUGAAAAAGAGUCCAGUGGUGAGGGUGGGGCCAUUCUGUGAAAGAGAGACAGAGCAAUGCUUGGUGGAAGCCGAGUUGUGUUUUGGUGAGUGGGAGAACUGAAUAAGGACUACAGGCUGAAUGAAGAGAUAAGGGUGAGGAAACUUGUAGUUAAGCAGUUACACAGUCAGAGGAAUCAUCAGUGUAGAAGCUGAAGUUACCAAGAAUGUGUGUGGGAGAUUGUGAAGAGCGGAAGAAUGGGUGAGGGUAAGCCAUGAGUGAAAAUCAGAGAAGAAAACUGAUGGAUGAUAAUCAUAUAGCUAGUAAAUGACAGUAACCUGGAGGGGAGAAGAGGAUGGAAGCACUGGUUAAGAUGCCUUUGUUUUGGCCAUAAGGCCUUGUGUUAUUUUACUUAUUCCUAUAUCAAUUUUGUAAGACACAUUUUGCCUUUCGAAAUGUAUCAGAGCACAAAUACUUGUCAGAAUAUUACUGACAACACUCCCAGUCUCUGAACUUCUUAGUUGUGAUUAUUUCCUUAAACAGAUCGUUUAUGCUGUUCCUUUGAUUCACAUAAUUAAUCACUCUUAUUCAAUCAAAUGCCUUUCUCAAAGUAUGAAAUCAUUAAAUAUAAAUUGUUCUCAAUCCAAGGGGAAAAAAGAGCCAAUUUUUAAUUGUCUUAGCAGCUGCCUGUGCCACAUUUUUAAGAUGAAAACAUAAUUACCUGAAAAAAAUGGAGAAAAAGAUAAGGGAUCUCAUAGAACAUGAAGAUUUUCUUCAAUUAACAAUUAAGAAUAGGUGAGGGGCUCUUUUGGAUAGCUGCCCAAAAUAUGCAAGAGAUUUACAAUCAGUCUUAAUAUCCAAGAAAAAACUAUGUCUUUUUAUUUGUCAUAUAUAUAUAUGCACCCACAAGGUUUUGUAGGUAGCUGGAAGUAAGGAUCUUCAAAAUGUAAUAUUUGUCACACAACAGUUGGCUUAUUACACAUGUGAAAGUGUUUUUCAGCAUGUGAAAUGGGAGGGAGAAUUGACAGGCAUGUGAUAUUAAAUGAAGUGUAUAGUAUUAUCUAGAAAUAAAAAAGUGAGCCUGAAGACUAAAUGAACUACUAGUCAUUUAUUUACUCCCUAGUCUCUUAUAUCUUUUGUUGUAUAAUGUUCAUAGAAUAAACUAAUGGAUGCAGACAUAUCAUAAACAUAAAAUGGUACAGGCAGUAAGUCUUAAUGCACCUUAAUUCUGAUUUAGAUUAUUCAACCCAAACCUGAGUGAUGUUCCAAUUACAUUAAAAGAAUCCAGCCACACACAAUGCAGGAUCUUACCGAAUUUUUGCCAAUCUGGUUUAGAUAAUCCAAUAUUAUCAUUUUCUUUCAAGCCUACACUAGAAAGAAAAUUGGAAUAUUGCCAAAAUGUGUGUGUGUGUGUGUGUGUGUGUGUGUGUGUGUGUGUGUGUGUGUGUGUGUGUGUGAGGGAGAGAGAGAGAGAGAGAAAGAGAGAACUGGAAAGUAGAAUGAAAUAAAAAAGUUGAAUAUCUUUUUUGACACACUUACUUCCUGUUCUUUCUGUGUGUUAUCCAGCUUUAUCUGCUUUAAUGCUUUGGUUUUGCAAUAAAAUAUUUAUGUAUCACACACCAGUAAUCAGUACUAUUUUGUCCCUGUUUACUAGUUAGCUAUCAGAGAUGAUAUAUGGUAACCCAUAAAUUAUGUCAGUCUUGGUUCACAAUCAAUUUAAAGCAUUUCUGCUCCCAGAAAACACAGCUUUCAAUUCAUUUGAAAGAAAUUGCAAGUCUUCAUUUCUUGUGCCAGUUUUGUCCAUGGUAAAUCAACCACAGAAUGGAAUAAGCAUCAGCAAUAUAUCGCUCUCUUACCUGUAGUUUUUGUACAUGCUUUUCCUCAGUGAAGACCACACUGUUAUAAUUUAUAUGCUGUAUCUUUUUAAAUUUCUAUAUUAAAAUUUUAGUAUACUUAAAAGCAGUUGAACAAUGUCAAAUUAAUUCAAUAAGGGGAACCAAAAUACAUUCUACAUACA